CGCCUAGAUGAUGCCUUUCUU
rnacentral:miRNA from 1 species